GAUGAAGAACGUAUCGAAAUGCGAUAAGUAAUGUGAAUUGCAGAAUUCAGUGAAUCAUCGAAUCUUUGAACGCACAUUGCGCCCCUUGGUAUUCCGAGGGGCAUGCCUGUUCGAGCGUCAUUAUAACCCUCAAGCUCAGCUUGGUGUUGGGGCCUGCUGCACUGGCAGCCCUUAAAAUCAGUGGCGGCGCCAUCUGGCUCUAAGCGUAGUAAUUCUUCUCGCUAUGGAGUCCUGGUGGAUGCUUGCCAUCAACCCCCAAUUUUUCUAUGGUUGACCUCGGAUCAGGUAGGGAUACCCGCUGAACUUAAGCAUAUCAAUAAGCGGAGA
rnacentral:misc_RNA from 1 species